CGCGAGCUCUGCCAGAGGAAUCAUUCCUUGGUAUACAGAGGCAACAGCAGGUCAUAGUAUCUGGACUAUUCAGUUCUCCUGGGCAAUUUAUCUGCCCUAUUCCCGGCAGUUAUUAUUGCAACUAGAAUCAGUAUAGUAUUGACAGAAAUCUCUUGGGAUGAAUUAUAUCCAUCUCUUCUGAGACUACCUCAUCAUCAAUCUUCCCAUUUUUUCUAUCAUCAUUUUAAUCAGUACCUGCUUGCCUCCGGCUCCUCUUCCUCUAUAGGCUUGCAUCCAGGCUCUGUGCAUUGCACGGCGUUCCUACCCGCAUGCUUAAGAGGAUCAUUUCCUCUUUUUCCCAUCCCUCCUUCCAUCUAUCUGGGAUUCUCCAUCUGGGACUUUGAGCCAAUCACGGCCAAUCAUUCAGGUUUUUUUAGUCCACUUUUACAGACUACUGCCCCCCAUUGGUUCCUGACGAAGCCCC